rnacentral:misc_RNA from 1 species
UUUCCGUAGGUGAACCUGCGGAAGGAUCAUUAUAAAUGAAAAACGAAUAACUUCAGGGAAGAAGGGAACCUGCACGGCGACCUCCCCUGUCGGGCCACCCAAUACCUUCAAAAUGCCGCCGUCCUAGCGGUGGCAGACGAAAAAAAAACAAGAAAAACAAAAUAGAAACAGGCACGGUGGCCCGUUCACCUUCACACAACCCUCCGAGUACCGCUUCCAUGUUGCUUCCCCGCAAAUCCACCUCUUUGGUGAGCGCGGGGGAGGUCCGCAUCAAAUUCACCUGAAUGUCACAGCAGUCAGACAGCCAUUCAUGGAAACAAUAAAACUUUCAACAACGGAUCUCUUGGUUCCC